rnacentral:lncRNA from 1 species
UGAGUUGCUGUUUGGUACACCCAGGAGUUGCAUCAAUGUAGCCAAGACGUGCUCUACUGGCUCAGUUUACAUUUGCAUCAAUGUAUCCGAAACACCUCGGAAAUCUGAUUUACGGUUUCAUUUGGGGCGACAACGAUACGAUACCAGGGGCUAAGAUUGGAUGCACAACCACAUGGUCCUCCACACAGUACAGAAUCAAAAGGGUUUCUAUGUUUCACCAAAUCUACUCCUCCGGGUUAAGUCGCUGACAACACAAAAUGGAAAUAACCAAAAUUAUAGUGUCACUUUGCUGCUAGUCGCUCCAUUACAUUACAGUCCAUGGGGUGUUGUAACUUCAGAGAUUCUCUUCCUCUGCUACCAAGAGUCUCUCUCCAGGCAAACGGCCAGCUACAAAAACGGUGAACCAUGGAUGAUAGAUCAGCGCCUCUUCUUGCCAGACUUUGAGCCGGCAGAUUUCGAUGGGCUCGCGACCAGGUAGAUGAACCCCAGAACGAAGGAAACGACAGACACCAGUGCUCCGUACUUUGCAAUAAGUUUCUGCACAUGGACAGUUUCUUAGAAUCUCACACCAGGGAAUAUCAUGGCAGCUUAUUUAUAUGGAGGAGAAAUGAAAUGAAAUUACCUUAGCCUGAACAACGAAUGAGAGUGAAUCCAGAAUUCCAGAGCAAGAGUAUCAGCCCCACAAAAUAGCAUGGAAAAAAUUAGAAUCACCAAGGAGAUAUACCAGAAUGAAAAUGCACACAAUCACUUACCCAUUCAAACUUCUUCACUGGAGGUCUUUCAGCAAGAAUGUCCAGGGGGAGGAUGGGAGUUGAGUAGGCCUCCUACGGCGUACAAAAUUAUCAGUUUAGCAAGAGGAGUUGACACUGGUGAAUGAAUGAGCAAACAAGCGAAUGUAUAUCAUUUGAGGCACUAGUGAAUAAUAUAC